CUUAGUUGUAGAAAACCUAGUAGCCUACAGUAUUAGGUAAAGUCAUUUGUUUAUAUUGCUAUAGUUGUUAUGUUGCCACAGCAACAAUAGAAUUAGCACAACAAAUUAAUUCAAGUACUUCAAAAACACUAUAGUAUUUACUAUAAAUUAGGCUACUAUAGUAUUUUUUUCACCUGUGGGGUGAUUUGAAGGAUAUUUAUAUCAGUUUUGGAUAUUUAUGUGUUUCUUGGUAGGCCUAUAUUUUUCACUUUUAGCGGUUGAAUCGAGGGUGGCUUUAGUAACGUUCUGUUCGGCUUAUGUCGUCACAGUGCUCGCGCGAAGACCGCGCUGUUGACUUUUCAACUGGAUCUCGUCCACCUUCAUCGACUGGUGCUAACGUUACUUCUCUCCAUCUGUAUUUACAUCUGCAACUGGUGGUGGAUCGUCUAAAAAUGUUGCUGCAGAGCCAUUGGUGAGCUGCUUAAAAGAAGGUUUAGCUGCAGAGCCGCAGCUCUAGACCAGCAGCCACAGAACGGAAGUGAGGAGCUCAUACAUGCGCUACCUAUAACAUGUAACUUUCUUUGAUUAGAUAUAGGCUAUUUUCACAUGGGUUUUGAUUAGAUCGAUAUCUACAAUAUUGAGUGACAAUACUUUUAAAUAAGGUCACUUUUUAGUUCAUACAUGCAUGAUGUACAAUGAGCAUUAUUUCAGCCUUUUAAUCACAAUAGUUCAUUGUUAGUUCAACAAUACAACUUUCACAUUUGAAAAAUAUAUUAAUAAAUGUGUAACUGUGUUGUAAAGUGUUUCCUAUUUGACUGUAUUAUGUGAUUAAUGUUAUUUCAUUGUGUGCAUGUUGUUACAAAUGGUAGGCUACUUAAAGACAGAGUAUGUGACAUUUAAUGUAAAAUAUACUGUGCUUAAACAUAUGAAAUUCAAAAUAAACU